rnacentral:rRNA from 1 species
UACGGAGGAUGCAAGCGUUAUCCGGAAUGAUUGGGCGUAAAGCGUCCGCAGGUGGCUAUGUAAGUCUGCUGUUAAAGAGUCUAGCUCAACUAGAUAAAAGCAGUGGAAACUACAAGGCUAGAGUACGUUCGGGGCAGAGGGAAUUCCUGGUGUAGCGGUGAAAUGCGUAGAGAUCAGGAAGAACACCGGUGGCGAAGGCGCUCUGCUAGGCCGUAACUGACACUGAGGGACGAAAGCUAGGGGAGCGAAUGGG